ACUGCUCAGUAACACGUGGACAACCUGCCCUUAGGACGGGGAUAAACCCGGGAAACUGGGUAUAAUACCCGAUAGGUCUCGAUUGCUGGAAUGCAUCGAGAUUUAAAGCUCCGGCGCCUAAGGAUGGGUCUGCGGCCUAUCAGGUAGUAGUGGGUGUAGCGUACCUACUAGCCUACGACGGGUACGGGUUGUGAGAGCAAGAGCCCGGAGAUGGAUUCUGAGACACGAAUCCAGGCCCUACGGGGUGCAGCAGGCGCGAAAACUUUACAAUGCUGGCAACAGCGAUAAGGGAGCCUCGAGUGCCAGGUUACAAAUCUGGCUGUCGAGAUGCCUAAAAAGCAUUUCAUAGCAAGGGCCGGGCAAGACCGGUGCCAGCCGCCGCGGUAACACCGGCGGCUCGAGUGGUAACCGUUAUUAUUGGGUCUAAAGGGUCUGUAGCCGGCCGGAUAAGUCUCUUGAGAAAUCUGGCAGCUUAACUGUCAGGCUUUCAGGAGAUACUGUCUGGCUCGAGGCCGGGAGAGGUGAGAGGUACUUCAGGGGUAGGGGUGAAAUCUUGUAAUCCUUGAAGGACCACCAGUGGCGAAGGCGUCUCACCAGAACGGACCUGACGGCAAGGGACGAAAGCUAGGGGCACGAACCGGAUUAGAUACCCGGGUAGUCCUAGCCGUAAACGAUACUCGCUAGGUGUCGGCCACGGUGCGACCGUUGUCGGUGCCGUAGGGAAGCCGUGAAGCGAGCCACCUGGGAAGUACGGCCGCAAGGCUGAAACUUAAAGGAAUUGGCGGGGGAGCAC
rnacentral:rRNA from 1 species